UACGGGGGGGAGCAAGCGUUGUUCGGAUUUACUGGGCGUAAAGGGCGCGUAGGCGGUCAGCACAAGUCAGUUGUGAAAUCUCCGGGCUUAACUCGGAAAGGUCAACUGAUACUGUGCGACUAGAGUGCAGAAGGGGCAACUGGAAUUCUCGGUGUAGCGGUGAAAUGCGUAGAUAUCGAGAGGAACACCUGCGGCGAAGGCGGGUUGCUGGGCUGACACUGACGCUGAGGCGCGAAAGCUAGGGGAGCGAACGGG
rnacentral:rRNA from 1 species